GGCGACGAGUGGCGAACGGGUGAGUAAUGUAUCGGAACGUGCCCAGUUGUGGGGGAUAACUGCUCGAAAGAGCAGCUAAUACCGCAUACGACCUGAGGGUGAAAGCGGGGGAUCGCAAGACCUCGCGCAGUUGGAGCGGCCGAUAUCAGAUUAGGUAGUUGGUGGGGUAAAGGCUCACCAAGCCAACGAUCUGUAGCUGGUCUGAGAGGACGACCAGCCACACUGGGACUGAGACACGGCCCAGACUCCUACGGGAGGCAGCAGUGGGGAAUUUUGGACAAUGGGGGCAACCCUGAUCCAGCCAUGCCGCGUGCGGGAAGAAGGCCUUCGGGUUGUAAACCGCUUUUGUCAGGGAAGAAAAGACUCCUGUUAAUACCGGGGGUUCAUGACGGUACCUGAAGAAUAAGCACCGGCUAACUACGUGCCAGCAGCCGCGGUAAUACGUAGGGUGCAAGCGUUAAUCGGAAUUACUGGGCGUAAAGCGUGCGCAGGCGGUUAUGCAAGACAGAUGUGAAAUCCCCGGGCUCAACCUGGGAACUGCAUUUGUGACUGCAUGGCUAGAGUACGGCAGAGGGGGAUGGAAUUCCGCGUGUAGCAGUGAAA
rnacentral:rRNA from 1 species